rnacentral:rRNA from 1 species
AUGAACGCUGGCGGCGUGCUUCACACAUGCAAGUCGCACGAUGAAGCCCAGCUUGCUGGGUGGAUUAGUGGCGAACGGGUGAGUAACACGUGAGUAACCUGCCCUUGACUCUGGGAUAAGCCUGGGAAACUGGGUCUAAUACUGGAUAUGACUUCUCAUCGCAUGGUGGGGGGUGGAAAGAUUUAUUGGUCUUGGAUGGACUCGCGGCCUAUCAGCUUGUUGGUGAGGUAAUGGCUCACCAAGGCGACGACGGGUAGCCGGCCUGAGAGGGUGACCGGCCACACUGGGACUGAGACACGGCCCAGACUCCUACGGGAGGCAGCAGUGGGGAAUAUUGCACAAUGGGCGCAAGCCUGAUGCAGCGACGCCGCGUGAGGGAUGACGGCCUUCGGGUUGUAAACCUCUUUCAGUAGGGAAGAAGCGAGAGUGACGGUACCUGCAGAAGAAGCGCCGGCUAACUACGUG